GAGAGAGAGAGAGGUGCAGCAGAAGGAGGCGUCAGACCUGGAAGGAGCUAAUCCACAGAACAACCAGGAGGAAUGUCCAGUGAUGUCAGAUUUUUCCUCUACAACAGAAGACAGGAGAACCAAAAUACCAGAACAUCCAAAAGAGAUCCCAAUGAGAAUAGAUCUCCACGCACUGCAGAUUAGGCUGUGAUGUAAACAAUCAUCGACCACUGAAACUGAAACCAACAUUUGUUUAUGAGUUACUGUGGCAGACUCUUGCAUAAUUCAAUGGCUCAAGUGUUCCUAUUCUGUAAUACUUUUUAAGAGAGAGCUUCUGAUGGGCCACUCCUGAUCCUAUAUCCUCUCUGCAGCAACAAACUGGCUUGUUACAUAAAAAUAAAUGAUUUGUCAUUAGGAGACAAGAUGAAAAUCUAACUCUAAUGCUGUGAGUGAA